AACGCUAGCUACAGGCUUAACACAUGCAAGUCGAGGGGAAACGACAUCGAAAGCUUGCUUUUGAUGGGCGUCGACCGGCGCACGGGUGAGUAACGUGUAUCCAACCUGCCCACCACUUGGGGAUAACCUUGCGAAAGUAAGACUAAUACCCAAUGAUAUCCCACGAAGGCAUCCGAAUGGGAUUAAAGAUUUAUCGGUGAUGGAUGGGGAUGCGUCUGAUUAGCUUGUUGGCGGGGUAACGGCCCACCAUGCCGACGAUCAGUAGGGGUUCUGAGAGGAAGGUCCCCCACAUUGGAACUGAGACACGGUCCAAACUCCUACGGGAGGCAGCAGUGAGGAAUAUUGGUCAAUGGGCGGAAGCCUGAACCAGCCAAGUAGCGUGAGGGACGACGGCCCUAUGGGUUGUAAACCUCUUUUAUGCGGGGAUAACCGGUGCCACGCGUGGCGCCCUGCAGGUACCGCAUGAAUAAGGACCGGCUAAUUCCGUGCCAGCAGCCGCGGUAAUACGGAAGGUCCAGGCGUUAUCCGGAUUUAUUGGGUUUAAAGGGAGCGUAGGCGGAUUUUUAAGUCAGUUGUGAAAGUUUGAGGCUCAACCUUAAAAUUGCAGUUGAAACUGGAAGUCUUGAGUGCACGCAGAGGUGCCGGAAUUCAUGGUGUAGCGGUGAAAUGCUUAGAUAUCACGAAGAACUCCGAUUG
rnacentral:rRNA from 1 species